rnacentral:rRNA from 1 species
GACAGAGGGUGCAAACGUUGUUCGGAAUUACUGGGCGUAAAGCGCGUGUAGGCGGCCCUGCAAGUCGGAUGUGAAAUCCCACGGCUCAACCGUGGAAGUGCAUUCGAAACUGCAGGGCUAGAGUCCUGGAGAGGAAGGUGGAAUGCUUGGUGUAGAGGUGAAAUUCGUAGAUAUCAAGCGGAACACCGGUGGCGAAGGCGGCCUUCUGGACAGUGACGUGACGCUGAGACGGCGAAAGCGUGGGGAGCAA